AACGAACGCUGGCGGCAUGCCUAACACAUGCAAGUCGAACGAGACCUUCGGGUCUAGUGGCGCACGGGUGCGUAACGCGUGGGAACCUGCCCUUAGGUUCGGAAUAACUCCCCGAAAGGGGUGCUAAUACCGGAUAAUGUCUUCGGACCAAAGAUUUAUCGCCUUUGGAUGGGCCCGCGUUGGAUUAGCUAGUUGGUAGGGUAAAAGCCUACCAAGGCGACGAUCCAUAGCUGGUUUGAGAGGAUGAUCAGCCACACUGGGACUGGGACACGGCCCAGACUCCUACGGGAGGCAGCAGUGGGGAAUAUUGGACAAUGGGCGAAAGCCUGAUCCAGCAAUGCCGCGUGAGUGAUGAAGGCCUUAGGGUUGUAAAGCUCUUUUACCCGGGAUGAUAAUGACGGUACCGGGAGAAUAAGCUCCGGCUAACUCCGUG
rnacentral:rRNA from 1 species